ACGCUGGCGGCGUGCCUAAUACAUGCAAGUAGAACGCUGAAGAGAGGAGCUUGCUCUUCUUGGAUGAGUUGCGAACGGGUGAGUAACGCGUAGGUAACCUGCCUUGUAGCGGGGGAUAACUAUUGGAAACGAUAGCUAAUACCGCAUAACAAUAGGUGACACAUGUCAUUUAUUUGAAAGGGGCAAUUGCUCCACUACAAGAUGGACCUGCGUUGUAUUAGCUAGUAGGUGAGGUAACGGCUCACCUAGGCGACGAUACAUAGCCGACCUGAGAGGGUGAUCGGCCACACUGGGACUGAGACACGGCCCAGACUCCUACGGGAGGCAGCAGUAGGGAAUCUUCGGCAAUGGGGGCAACCCUGACCGAGCAACGCCGCGUGAGUGAAGAAGGUUUUCGGAUCGUAAAGCUCUGUUGUAAGUCAAGAACGAGUGUGAGAGUGGAAAGUUCACACUGUGACGGUAGCUUACCAGAAAGGGACGGCUAACUACGUGCCAGCAGCCGCGGUAAUACGUAGGUCCCGAGCGUUGUCCGGAUUUAUUGGGCGUAAAGCGAGCGCAGGCGGUUUGAUAAGUCUGAAGUUAAAGGCUGUGGCUCAACCAUAGUUCGCUUUGGAAACUGUCAAACUUGAGUGCAGAAGGGGAGAGUGGAAUUCCAUGUGUAGCGGUGAAAUGCGUAGAUAUAUGGAGGAACACCGGUGGCGAAAGCGGCCCUCUGGUCUGUAACUGACGCUGAGGCUCGAAAGCGUGGGGAGCGAACAGGAUUAGAUACCCUGGUAGUCCACGCCGUAAACGAUGAGUGCUAGGUGUUGGAUCCUUUCCGGGAUUCAGUGCCGCAGCUAACGCAUUAAGCACUCCGCCUGGGGAGUACGACCGCAAGGUUGAAACUCAAAGGAAUUGACGGGGGCCCGCA
rnacentral:rRNA from 1 species